CACCACUAGAGGCAUUGCAAGUGUGACUGCUGUGUCACAUGUCUUUCAGUAUGUGACACAAAAGAAAGACUAUGUCUGUACUAAGUGUUCUGACCUAUGAACAUCUGAGUGAUUUGUAGCCUAACACU
ensembl:snoRNA LOC120093458 small nucleolar RNA SNORA17